CGGGGUGGAGUAAUGUCUGGGAAACGUGCCUGAUGGAGGGGGAUAACUACUGGAAACGGUAGCUAAUACCGCAUAACGUCGCAAGACCAAAGAGGGGGACCGUUCGGGCCUCUUGCCAUCGGAUGUGCCCAGAUGGGAUUAGCUAGUAGGUGAGGUAACGGCUCACCUAGGCGACGAUCCCUAGCUGGUCUGAGAGGAUGACCAGCCACACUGGAACUGAGACACGGUCCAG
rnacentral:rRNA from 1 species